rnacentral:rRNA from 1 species
CAGCAAACUCCUAACACUGUGAUAGACCCUAGUUUCUGUGGGCUUGUGAUUGAAUCUGAGAGAAGGUGCAUCCUGCACAGGCAGAGGCCAGGCAAGUUUGUGGCAUUUGAAGGCACUGACACUGGCAAGAGAUUCAUAGGAUGUGCUACUGAGUUUCAAGAUGGUGUGCACUGUGGUGUUCUAGAGUGGGUAGAUGCCCCCUAGCCUGUAAUUCUGCAAAGGUGCUUAACCAAGCUCUGGGAUAUGUAUCAUGAGCAGAACCUUGGUAGAGCCCAGGAUAAUGAGGCUCAUGGGAUAGAGGUUGCAAAACUGAAGAAGGAGCUUGAUUCUCUGGCCAAUCAGUAUAGCCAGCUGGUGGAUGAUGUGUCCAAGUUGUUUGAUUAUCAGGAUGGAAUGAAAUCUCAUGACAUGGAUUGCACAAGCCAGGCAAUCAAUGAACUGAAGGAGAAGAAGAAGCAACUUGAGGAGCAGGCAAAGAUUGAGCUUCAAAUGGAGAAGCUUAAGCUCAAAAAAUAA